rnacentral:rRNA from 1 species
GAUGAACGCUGGCGGCGUGCCUAACACAUGCCAGUCGAGCGGAGUAUGGGAGAAGUGCUUGCACGGACCUUAUACUCAGCGGCGGACGGGUGAGUAACACGUGAGCAACCUACCUUCAACUGGGGGAUAACACCGGGAAACUGGUGCUAAUACCGCAUAACGUCCCAUUGCCACAUGGCGAAGGGACCAAAGGAGCAAUCCGGUGGAAGAUGGGCUCGCGGCCGAUUAGAUAGUUGGCGGGGUAAUGGCCCGACCAAGUCAACGAUCGGUAGCCGGACUGAGAGGUCGAACGGCCACAUUGGGACUGAGACACGGCCCAGACUCCUACGGGAGGCAGCAGUGGGGAAUAUUGGGCAAUGGGCGAAAGCCUGACCUAGCAACGCCGCGUGAAGGAGAAGGCCCUCGGGUUGUAAACUUCUUUGAUCGGGGACGAACACAAUGACGGUACCCGAAGAACAAGCCACGGCUAACUACGUGCCAGCAGCCGCGGUAAUGUCGAGUAUCG